CAUAAGACAAGAACAGACUUUGAGGUCGAGGCACCUCUUGUUUACCAUAAUCUUAUGUAUCCAAUUAAUGGAAACAAUGAAAAGAAAAUUGGGUUUUUGUGGUCCAAUUCAGGCGAUGUUAGUAUAGAUGUGACUAUUGAUAGACAAGGGUAUUGUCAGGGACAAUUCAUAGAUGUUAAGUGUAAUGUUGUUAAUAAAUCAUCAGUAAAAGUACAUCCGAGAG